UACGAAGGGGGCAAGCGUUGUUCGGAAUUACUGGGCGUAAAGGGCGCGUAGGCGGUGCUCUAAGUCAGGCGUGAAAGCCCUGGGCUCAACCCGGGAAUUGCGCUUGAUACUGGAGCGCUUGAAUCCAGGAGAGGUUGGUGGAAUUCCCAGUGUAGAGGUGAAAUUCGUAGAGAUUGGGAAGAACACCGGUGGCGAAGGCGGCCAACUGGACUGGUAUUGACGCUGAGGCGCGAAAGCGUGGGGAGCAAACGGG
rnacentral:rRNA from 1 species